UCGGGAAUUUUGGGCAAUGGGCGAAAGCCUGACCCAGCAACGCCGCGUGAAGGAUAAAGUAUUUCGGUAUGUAAACUUCGAAAGAAUAGGAAGAAUAAAUGACGGUACUAUUUAUAAGGUCCGGCUAACUACGUGCCAGCAGCCGCGGUAAUACGUAGGGACCAAGCGUUGUUCGGAUUUACUGGGCGUAAAGGGCGCGUAGGCGGCAAUUCAAGUCAUCUGUGAAAUCUCCGGGCUUAACUCGGAACGGUCAGAUGAUACUGCUUUGCUAGAGUGCAGAAGGGGCAAUCGGAAUUCUUGGUGUAGCGGUGAAAUGCGUAGAUAUCAAGAGGAACACCUGAGGUGAAGACGGGUUGCUGGGCUGACACUGACGCUGAGGCGCGAAAGCCAGGGGAGCAAACGGGAUUAGAUACCCCCGUAGUCCCUGAGCGGGCUGGCAAGGCGCAU
rnacentral:rRNA from 1 species